UGCCUUUUUGUGUUGCCCAUUCAGUGCUUCUUACGCUGAGUGCGGUGUCAACAAAGGCAUACAGUAAACUCUUGGAUCGGCCUUAGCAAGGUUCCUCUCUGGUGGCCUUGUCAUAAGUUCUAUCACAAGGACAAAU